AACGAACGCUGGCGGCGCGCCUAACACAUGCAAGUCGAACGGGGUGCAGGGCUUCGGCUGUGCACCCAGUGGCGCACGGGUGAGUAACGCGUGGGAACCUGCCCCGAGCUCCGGGACAACCGCGGGAAACUGCGGCUAAUACCGGAUGAUGCCGGCUCUGCCGGCCAAAGUCCCAUCGCAAGGUGGGGCGGCUUGGGAGGGGCCCGCGUCCGAUUAGCUGGUUGGUGGGGUAACGGCCCACCAAGGCUGCGAUCGGUAGCUGGUCUGAGAGGACGAUCAGCCACACUGGGACUGAGACACGGCCCAGACUCCUACGGGAGGCAGCAGUGGGGAAUCUUGGACAAUGGGGGCAACCCUGAUCCAGCGACGCCGCGUGGGUGAUGAAGGCCUUCGGGUUGUAAAGCCCUUUCGCCGGGGACGAUGAUGACGGUACCCGGUAAAGAAGCACCGGCUAACUCCGUGCCAGCCGCCGCGGUA
rnacentral:rRNA from 1 species